AGGGAUUUAGCUUAGCGGUGAAAGCGCUUGCCUGGCAAGCACAAAGUUGAGAAUUCAAUCCCCG
rnacentral:tRNA from 1 species